UACGUAGGGGGCUAGCGUUGUCCGGAUUUAUUGGGCGUAAAGAGCGUGUAGGCGGCCAGGUAGGUCCGUUGUGAAAACUCGAGGCUCAACCUCGAGACGCCGGUGGAAACCGUAAAGCUAGAGUCCGGAAGAGGAGAGUGGAAUUCCUGGUGUAGCGGUGAAAUGCGCAGAUAUCAGGAAGAACACCCGUGGCGAAGGCGGCUCUCUGGGACGGUACUGACGCUGAGACGCGAAAGCGUGGGGAGCGAACAGG
rnacentral:rRNA from 1 species